GAUGAACGCUGGCGGCGUGCCUAAUACAUGCAAGUCGAGCGGACCAAAGAGAGCUUGCCCUCUGAGGUCAGCGGCGGACGGGUGAGUAACACGUGGGUAACCUGCCUGUAAGACGGGAAUAACUUCGGGAAACCGAAGCUAAUACCGGAUGAUAAAGAGCAACGCCUGUUUCUUUUUUGAAAGUCGGCCUUGUGCUGACGCUUACAGCUGGGCCCGCGGCGCAUUAGCUAGUUGGUGAGGUAACGGCACACCAAGGCGACGAUGCGUAGCCGACCUGAGAGGGUGAUCGGCCACACUGGGACUGAGACACGGCCCAGACUCCUACGGGAGGCAGCAGUAGGGAAUCUUCGGCAAUGGACGAAAGUCUGACCGAGCAACGCCGCGUGAGCGAUGAAGGCCUUCGGGUCGUAAAGCUCUGUUGUCAGAGAAGAACAAGUACCGGAGUAACUGCCGGUACCUUGACGGUACCUGACCAGAAAGCCACGGCUAACUACGUGCCAGCCGCCGCCGUAA
rnacentral:rRNA from 1 species